rfam:Triticum aestivum genome assembly, contig: Triticum_aestivum_CS42_TGACv1_scaffold_115038_2AS
CCCAUCCAAGAUGAUGAGCUCAUGUCCUACAUCAUCCACGGGCUGGACCAAGACUAUCAGCCUCUUGUCUCUGCACUGGAUGCACGCGUCACCCCGGUAACUCUUGAUGAACUCUUUGCUAUGCUUAGUAACUUUGAUC